UAGAUAAAAGCCUCUCAGAUUAGCCAAGAAUGACACCUAAAAUCCAUUUUUAAGGAUAUAGGGAUCAAAUAAUCCUACGUAACAGAUUUUAGGCAAGUCAUCCUCGGCUACCAAAGCAGGUUCUUAUCU
rnacentral:pre_miRNA from 1 species